rnacentral:piRNA from 1 species
UNGCUUUUAACACUAAGUAAUGUUGCCA